GGCUCAGGACAAACGCUGGCGGCGUGCAUAAAACAUGCAAGUCGAACGGGCCAAAGCCGCAAGGCUGAGGCUAGUGGCGAACGGCUGAGUAACACGUAGGUGACCUGCCCCGAAGUGGGGGAUAACGACUCGAAAGAGUCGCUAAUACCGCAUGUGACCACCGAUCCAUUAUCGGUGCUCAAAGUCGCAAGACGCUUUGGGAGGGGCCUGCGGCGGAUUAGCUAGUUGGUGGGGUAACGGCCUACCAAGGCGGCGAUCCGUAGCUGGUCUGAGAGGAUGGCCAGCCAGACUGGGACUGAGACACGGCCCAGACUCCUACGGGAGGCAGCAGUUAGGAAUUUUGCGCAAUGGGGGAAACCCUGACGCAGCCACGCCGCGUGCGGGAUGAAGGCCUUCGGGUCGUAAACCGCUUUUCUCGAGGAAGACAACCGACGGUACUCGAGGAAUAAGCAACGGCUAACUACGUGCCAGCAGCCGCGGUAAUACGUAGGUUGCAAGCGUUGUCCGGAUUUACUGGGCGUAAAGCGCGCGCAGGCGGUCCUGAAAGUCGAAUGUGAAAGCUCCCGGCCCAACUGGGAGAGGCCGUUCGAAACUUCAGGACUUGAAGGCGGGAGAGGCAGAUGGAAUUUCCGGUGUAGCGGUAAAAUGCGUAGAUACCGGAAGGAACACCAGUGGCGAAAGCGAUCUGCUGGCCCGCCCUUGACGCUCAGGCGCGAAAGCUAGGGGAGCGACCGGGAUUAGAUACCCCGUUAGUCCUAGCUGUAAACAAUGGGCACUAGGUGUUGUCGGUAUCGACCCCGGCAGUGCCGAAGCUAACGCAUUAAGUGCCCCGCCUGGGGAG
rnacentral:rRNA from 1 species